UACGUAGGGGGCUAGCGUUGUCCGGAUUUAUUGGGCGUAAAGAGCGUGUAGGCGGCCAGAUAGGUCUGCUGUGAAAACUCGAGGCUCAACCUCGAGAUGUCGGCGGAAACCAUUUGGCUAGAGUCCGGAAGAGGAAAGUGGAAUUCCUGGUGUAGCGGUGAAAUGCGCAGAUAUCAGGAGGAACACCGGUGGCGAAGGCGGGUCUCUGGGCGUGACACUGACGCUGAUGCGCGAAAGCCAGGGGAGCGAACGGG
rnacentral:rRNA from 1 species